AGAAAGAUCAAGUCAGAUUAGCACGGAGACAUUCAAUAGAAGGGCGACACACAGUUGGGAGACAGAGGAUGAGAUGAAGAGAUAUUGUGAAAAGAGACAUGAAGAUACUAAACCUACAUGUAAGAGAUGAAGAUGCCCAGGAUAGAGUAUAGAGAAAGAUCGGGUUAAGUUAGCAUGAAGACAUUCAAUAGAAGGACGACACACAGUUGGGAGACAGAGGAU